UGGGGAAUAUUGGACAAUGGGCGCAAGCCUGAUCCAGCAAUGCCGCGUGAGUGAUGAAGGCCUUAGGGUUGUAAAGCUCUUUCGCACGCGACGAUGAUGACGGUAGCGUGAGAAGAAGCCCCGGCUAACUUCGUGCCAGCAGCCGCGGUAAUACGAAGGGGGCUAGCGUUGUUCGGAAUUACUGGGCGUAAAGGGCGCGUAGGCGGCCUGUUUAGUCAGAAGUGAAAGCCCCGGGCUCAACCUGGGAAUAGCUUUUGAUACUGGCAGGCUUGAGUUCCGGAGAGGAUGGUGGAAUUCCCAGUGUAGAGGUGAAAUUCGUAGAUAUUGGGAAGAACACCGGUGGCGAAGGCGGCCAUCUGGACGGACACUGACGCUGAGGCGCGAAAAGCGUGGGGAGCAAAACAGGAUUAGAUACCCUGGUAGUCCACGCCGUAAAACGAUGAAUGCUAGACGUCGGGGUGCAUGCACUUCGGUGUCGCCGCUAACGCAUUAAGCAUUCCGCCUGGGGAGUACGGCCGCAAGGUUAAAAACUUAAAUGAAUUGACGGGGUCAAGCUGUUUCCU
rnacentral:rRNA from 1 species